rnacentral:rRNA from 1 species
UACGUAGGGGGCAAGCGUUGUCCGGAAUCAUUGGGCGUAAAGCGCGCGUAGGCGGCCCUGUAAGUCCGUUGUGAAAGUCAAAGGCUCAACCUUUGAAAGCUGAUGGAUACUGCAGGGCUAGAGUCCGGAAGAGGCGAGUGGAAUUCCUGGUGUAGCGGUGGAAUGCGCAGAUAUCAGGAGGAACACCAAUAGCGAAGGCAGCUCGCUGGGACGGUACUGACGCUAAGGCGCGAAAGCGUGGGGAGCGAACAGG